AGCACAGCCCCUAGGCCCAAGGCCAAGGAGGGCUGCACAACACCCAUGAGCCCCAGGACCCUCAAAGGCAUAUUCUUACCUGCUGCGGCGGCUGCUGCUGCUGCUAAAUCGCUUCAGUCGUGGCCCACUCUGUGCGACCCCGUAGAUGGCAGCCCACCAGACUCCCCCGACCCUGGGAUUCUCCAGGCAAGAACAUUGGAGUGGAUUGCCAUUUCCUUCUCCAAUGCAUGAAAGUGAAAAGUCAAAGUGAAGUCGCUCAAUUGUGUCCAACCCUCAGCAACCCCAUGGACCGCUGCUUUCCAGGCUCCUCCAUCCAUGGGAUUUUCCAGGCAAGAGUACUGGAGUGGGUUGCCAUUGCCUGCUCCCAUUCUUACCUGCUAGAGCGCUGCAUGCAUGAGGGCAGACAGCUGGAACUAACAGCUCUUCUCCAGAACAGUGGGUGGUCCCUUGUCUAGGGAAUCUUCUUGAUCCCGGGAUCGAACUUGAUCCCAGGAAUCUUCUUGAUCCCGGGAAUCUCCUGCAAUUCUCCUGCAUUACAGGCAGAUUCUUUACUGCUGAGUCACUGGGAGGGGUGUCAGUCUGCAACUAGAGGGCCUCAACAUGGUUAUUCAAGAUGUCUUGUGGUAUAGUUGCUCCACCAUCUUCCCAUACUGGAAAAGCGGAGACACCAAGAUGCACAGCUGACUCCAGAAUUUUGCUCCUGCUUCUAGGAUAGGCAAGAUGGCCAGUUAUCACCCUCCUUGUGCUCAGAAUUCUGCCAGGUGGCAGAAGCCACCUGUUCUAGGAGAGCCUUCUCUUGGGACAAGUAUGUACAUUAUAAAUGAAAAGCUUAUUUUUAGCACCCUGAAUCCAUCAGAGACCACCAAAGUGGCCUUCAUUACCCAUUCUAGCUCAGCAUGACUGGAGGGCAGAGAUGGUAGGAAAACCUCUUGAGAAACUGACACAUCUUCCUCCAAAAUUGGAUCUUUGCCUGCUUCAACUCUCAUCUCUGUUUGCCAAAUAAAUAUUUAGGUACCUAAAACCUGGCAGAGUUUUAGCUCUGAGGACCCAGCAAUAAUCAAGAGACCCCAUGCCAGCCCUAUGGUUCUCAUAAUCGGUGAGGAGGAUAUCACAAAAUAACCACAGAUUUUGAAAUGAUCGAAAGUGCAGUGACCCUCAUAAUCUCUCCUGACACCUCGGCUCCAGCCUCAGUCUCAGUUUCUGUGCCCAUUUGAAGAAGUUUUGUUUCAAGUCCUUCGUGUCUGAGUCCCUCUGUGUCACCUGUAUCGUGACCAAAAAGUUGGUCGACGUAGAGGACACCAACACCUCUGGGACUGUCUCCAUGACAACACAUCAGCAUAUCCUGCCCUCAGAGCCCUGGAGACCCUACCCUACAUUCGUGUACCACUUAUAAUAAUCAUUCUUGAUAUUCUGUAACUGAUUAUUCAGCAUCUUGAAAUCAUGAGAAAAUUAAAGACCAAUGUUGUUUACAUUUCCCCUGUGGUCUGACUUUUGUGGGUGCUUAAAAGUCAUAUUAUGAACCUUUCAACCACAAAACCCAAAAUCGGGUUUUGCUUCCCACCUAAUAGGAGACGUUCUCACCUAAAAACUUGCUACCACUAUGAAAUAAAAACUUUGUACCCAUAUUUUCUUCUUGCUCCUUUCUGCCUCCUGAGCAACCCUGGUGCUUCCCCAUGUGCUCCUGUAUGGCACAGUGUGCUCACUUCCUGUUGGGGACUGUAAGUAAUAAAUCUUCUUUCAGUGGCAUUGAUCUCUGAGUAUGUCAUCACUCAGUCAAUGUAAUAUACAUUUAUCAGUUUAAUGU
ensembl:lncRNA